rnacentral:other from 1 species
CACGUAAGCUGAUUUUAUUGCAGCGACCUUCUUGCCAGCAGUUCGGUUGAAAAUCACCACAGGCGGAAGCCCCCGAUUUCUCCGGCAGCGUUCCCGCAAUUUGUGAGGCCAGGAAAGAACUGCAACACACCGCAAUUCAACUUAGACCGAGAGGUAAUUCCCCGUGAUGACAGGCACCGUAAAGUGGUUCAACGAGGCGAAAGGCUUCGGUUUCAUUACCCCGGAUAACGGCGGCAAGGAUGUCUUCGUGCAUCAUUCCGCGAUCCAGGGUUCUGGCUUCAAGACCCUGGCCGAGGGCCAGAAGGUAAAGUUCGAGUUGGAGCAGGGCCCGAAAGGUCCGGCGGCGACGAAUGUAACGCCGGCCUGAUUCGAGUUACAUCCGCAGAUUGAAAAAAGGCCCCGCCCGCAAGGCGGGGCCUUUUUU